UAGGUAGGUGAUCACACCAACUUCCCUUAUAGUCGAUGACACACGCUCGCAACAUAUCCUCCAGAGUUUGAAUGAUUCUCUCUGUUUGCCCAUCGGUCUGAGGAUGAAAUGCGGUGCUAAAGUCGAGCCGUGUGCCAAGGGCUUCCUGCAGGCUCUUCCAGAAGUGUGAAGUGAAUCGGGGGUCACGAUCCAACACGAUCGAUUUCGGCACCCCAUGCAGUCUCACUAUCUCGUCGAGGUAUACCUGCGCUAACUUGUCACCCGACCAUGUGGUGUGGAUCGGCAGAAGUGAGCCGACUUCGUUAGUCGGUCCACAAUUACCCAAAUUGCAUCGUGGCCGCCCGUUGAGCGAGGCAAGCCGACCACGAAGUCCAUCGAUAUAUCCUCUCAUUUCCAAACAGGGAUUGGUAGGUUUUGAAGCUUUCCCACUGGAAAUCGACGCUCUGCUUUCACUUCUUAGCAUGUUAAGCACUUCGCCACAAAGUGUCCAAUAUCACUCUUCAUUCCCGGCCACCAGUAGUGUAUUUUUAGUCCUUGAUACAUGUCACGCCCCGGGACCGAUACCAAUUUGGCCCGACCCGAGCACGUCAAACAGACGCCGAACGGACAGAGUUUCCCCUAUCCGCCCAAGGCUCAUCACAUGUACAAAUUCAAACAAGAAAUGCACUAGCGGAAACAUACACAAACGGCUUACACGAAGGUAAGCAAUAGCCAUUAGUGAAAGAAAAAGGAAACUAAAUAUUCACUUAUACUAUGAUUCAUUUUUUGAUCAUAUACAUUGCAUUCAUCUUCUAGUUCCUUAAAUUUCAUUACAUAAUUUCAUCAUUUCUUUCUUACAUCACAUUUACCUCAAAAUAAGCUUUACAUUCUUUUCUUUACAUUACUAGUCAUCAAAUACAACAGAUGAACAUAGGGUAGCUACUAUCAAAAUGUAAUCCAACUCCGGUGGCCUCUGACUACGGCGCGAUACCUUUACCUCGGUCGCUCGCCGGCUCGCUAGGUCCCGGCUCUGUGGAAAUAGUGGGGUGAGAACUACAACAAAGUUCCCAGUGGGUUCGGCCUCAACAUCACCGACUUUCCCACUAGGACUAACUCAGGCAUAAUAGAAAGGAUAAGCUGAAAUAUGGUAACCAAUCUACAACAGGAUGCUAAUAUGCCUGAACAAUAAGCAAGGAAUAUGCUCAACAUUAAAUAAAUGCAGAUUAUGCAAAUUCUUUUGUUCUUUAUCUUUACACUUUGUUCUUGUUCUUUGCACUUUGCUCUUUGUUCUUUAUUCUUUAAUCUCGAGGCUAACCCGGGGGUUUCGCCACAUUAACUUGCUUCACAUUAAGUCCAUCAUCGCAGGAACUCACCCGCUAGGACCGUCCUUCGGGUCUACUCCAACCCGUGAUGCAUAACUCCGGAGCGCAUCGCCCGAGGGGGAGCGACCGCCCUCGAGCACGGAACUCAUAGCAAGUAUGAUCGUAUCCUUAACUCAAAGGAUUUAUAAGUUCAAUCUUGACUUUACACUAGCUCUAGUGUUCAUUACAUCACUUUAUGUUGCCACUCUAGCAAUCGUUGUUCUUUACUUUUCUUUUACUUUGGUUUUCUUUAGCAUUCUUGUUCUUUACAUUUCUCGUUCUUAUUGCCCCACUUUACUUUAACUUUACACAUUGUCAUUUUCAUCAUUCUUUACAUCACUUUGGUUCUUUGGCUCACACUAACUCUAGUGUCACUUUACUUUACGUUUCGAAUGCCACUCGAUCUAUGUCAUUGUGUCACUCUGUUCUUUUGCUCACUUUGGAUGCUCACUUUUCUCUCAUGCAUACACGUAGGGUUCUAACAUUCAUAAGGUUCUCAUUCAUCAUAUUAUGCAAGUUGUACUCACAAUCAUGCAACACUACAUUUUCAUCAUUACUUUACCCUAAAAUGCAUGCAACAACAUAUAUAUAUGCUCAAAUGAAUGACACAUUAGGCAUAGAGAGAAGUUCAAUGAGUUUGAGAAGCACCACCCACCUCGUAGGCUUUCAAAG
rnacentral:lncRNA from 1 species